rnacentral:rRNA from 1 species
CAGAGGGUGCAAGCGUUGUUCGGAAUUAUUGGGCGUAAAGCGCGUGUAGGCGGCUUUGCAAGUCGGGUGUGAAAGCCCUCAGCUUAACUGAGGAAGUGCGCCCGAAACUGCAUUGCUUGAGUACCGGAGAGGGUGGCGGAAUUCCCCAAGUAGAGGUGAAAUUCGUAGAUAUGGGGAGGAACACCGGUGGCGAAGGCGGCCACCUGGACGGCUACUGACGCUGAGACGCGAAAGCGUGGGGAGCAAACAGGAUUAGAUACCCUGGUAGUCCACGCUGUAAACGAUGAGAACUAGGUGUCGUGGGAGUUGACCCCCGCGGUGCCGAAGCUAACGCAUUAAGUUCUCCGCCUGGGAAGUACGGCCGCAAGGCUA